UACGUAGGUGGCAAGCGUUGUCCGGAAUUAUUGGGCGUAAAGCGCGCGCAGGUGGUUUCUUAAGUCUGAUGUGAAAGCCCACGGCUCAACCGUGGAGGGUCAUUGGAAACUGGGGAACUUGAGUGCAGAAGAGGAAAGUGGAAUUCCAAGCGUAGCGGUGAAAUGCGUAGAGAUUUGGAGGAACACCAGUGGCGAAGGCGACUUUCUGGUCUGUAACUGACACUGAGGCGCGAAAGCGUGGGGAGCAAACAGG
rnacentral:rRNA from 1 species